UCGAACUUUAUUCGGAUGCUA
rnacentral:siRNA from 1 species